rnacentral:rRNA from 1 species
GGGAAGUAUGUGCACGGAGCCGCGGUAACAUGGUGGGUGUUAUGGUGAAGCCGAAUUGCUGGGCGUAAGUCGUGCGCAGGCGGUUUGGUAAGACAGUCGUGAAAUCCCCGGGCUGAACCUGGGAACGGCGCUUGUGACUGCCAGUCUAGAGGACGGCAGAGGGGGGUGGAAUUCCACGUGUAGCAGUGAAAUGCGUAGAGAUGUGGAGGAACACCAAUGGCGAAGGCAGCCCCCUGGGUCGAUACUGACGCUCAUGCACGAAAGCGUGGGUAGCAAACAGGAUUAGAUACCCUAGUAGUC